UACGGAGGGUGCAAACGUUGCUCGGAAUUAUUGGGCGGAAAGCGCACGUAGGCGGCCUGAUAAGUCGGGUGUGAAAGCCCUCGGCUUAACCGAGGAAGUGCAUUCGAAACUAUCGGGCUUGAAUACUGAAGAGGGUCUCGGAAUUCCCGGUGUAGAGGUGAAAUUCGUAGAUAUCGGGAGGAACACCAGUGGCGAAGGCGGAGACCUGGGCAGAUAUUGACGCUGAGGUGCGAAAGCGUGGGGAGCAAACAGG
rnacentral:rRNA from 1 species